CGUACACUCCUACGGGAGGCAGCAGUGGGGAAUAUUGGACAAUGGGCGCAAGCCUGAUCCAGCCAUGCCGCGUGAGUGAUGAAGGCCCUAGGGUUGUAAAGCUCUUUCACCGGUGAAGAUAAUGACGGUAACCGGAGAAGAAGCCCCGGCUCACUUCGUGCCAGCAGCCGCGGUAAUACGAAGGGGGCUAGCGUUGUUCGGAUUUACUGGGCGUAAAGCGCACGUAGGCGGACUAUUAAGUCAGGGGUGAAAUCCCGGGGCUCAACCCCGGAACUGCCUUUGAUACUGGUAGUCUUGAGUUCGAGAGAGGUGAGUGGAAUUCCGAGUGUAGAGGUUAAAUUCGUAGAUAUUCGGAGGAACACCAGUGGCGAAGGCGGCUCACUGGCUCGAUACUGACGCUGAGGUGCGAAAGCGUGGGGAGCAAACAGGAUUAGAAACCCUGGUAGUCCCAU
rnacentral:rRNA from 1 species